rnacentral:tRNA from 1 species
CAGAAUAUAGCUUAACAAAAGCAUUUUGCUUACACCAAAAAAAUAUCUCUAAUAGAUUAUUCUG